UACGGGGGGGGCAAGCGUUGUUCGGAAUUACUGGGCGUAAAGGGCUCGUAGGUGGCCAACUAAGUCAUACGUGAAAUCCCUCGGCUUAACCGGGGAACUGCGUCUGAUACUGGAUGGCUUGAGUUUGGGAGAGGGAUGCGGAAUUCCUGGUGUAGCGGUGAAAUGCGCAGAUAUCAGGAGGAACACCGGUGGCGAAGGCGGAUCUCUGGGCCGUAAGCUGACGCUGAGGAGCGAAAGCAUGGGGAGC
rnacentral:rRNA from 1 species